UACAGAGGUCUCAAGCGUUGUUCGGAUUCAUUGGGCGUAAAGGGUGCGUAGGUGGCGUCGUAAGUCGGGUGUGAAAUUUCGGAGCUUAACUCCGAAACUGCAUUCGAUACUGCGGUGCUUGAGGACUGGAGAGGAGACUGGAAUUUACGGUGUAGCAGUGAAAUGCGUAGAGAUCGUAAGGAAGACCAGUGGCGAAGGCGGGUCUCUGGGACGGUACUGACGCUGAGACGCGAAAGCGUGGGGAGCGAACAGG
rnacentral:rRNA from 1 species